rnacentral:rRNA from 1 species
GGACGGGGGCUUCGGCCUGCCGCGAGUGGCGAACGGGUGAGUAAUGCAUCGGAACGUGCCCAUGUCGUGGGGGAUAACGUAUCGAAAGGUACGCUAAUACCGCAUACGUCCUGAGGGGAGAAAGCGGGGGAUCUUCGGACCUCGCGCGAUUGGAGCGGCCGUUGUCGGAUUAGCUAGUAGGUGAGGUAAAGGCUCAACCUAGGCGACGAUCCGUUAGCGGGUCUGAAGAGGAUGAUCCGCCACACUUGGGACUGAGACACGGCCCAGACUCCCUACGGGAGGCAGCAGUGGAAUUUUGGGACAUUGGGCGCAAAGCCUGAUCCAGCCUUUGCCGCGUGAGUUGAAGAAGGCCUUCGGGUUGUAAAGCUCUUUCGGCCCGGGAAGAAAUCGUGGUCUCUAACAUAGGCCAUGGAUGACGGUACCGGAACUAAGAAGCACCGGCUAACUACGUGCCAGCAGCCGCGGUAAUACGUAGGGUGCGAGCGUU